rnacentral:rRNA from 1 species
GGUUGAUCCUGCCAGUAGUUAUAUGCUUGUUUGAAAGAUUAAGCCAUGCAAGUCUAAGUAUAAGUAUUUAUACAGCGAAACUGCGAACAGCUCAUUAAAACACUGAUAAUAAUGACGAAUAUUAAAUAACGAUGGAUAUCCAUGGAAAACCUGAAGUUAAUACAUGCUUAUACGUUUACGUAUGUUGCAGUCUUUUAACACAAAAGCGUCGGGACUUCGGUCUUUCUGUUGAUUGUUAAGAUUGCUCUAUCGCAUCCGCGAUAAUUCGUGUCAGUUUGUGACCCAUCAGCUUU